rnacentral:rRNA from 1 species
CAUUAAAAAAGGAUACCGGGCAACCGGUAGACCCCACCCGUGUCUAUCUACUCUUGUUGCUUUGGCAGGCCGUGGCCUCCACCGUGGGCUCUGCCUGCGCGUGCCUGCCAGAGGACCAAACUCUGAAUUUUAGUGAUGUCUGAGUACUAUAUAAUAGUUAAAACUUUCAACAACGGAUCUCUUGGUUCUGGCAUCGAUGAAGAACGCAGCGAAAUGCGAUAAGUAAUGUGAAUUGCAGAAUUCAGUGAAUCAUCGAAUCUUUGAACGCACAUUGCGCCCGGUGGUAUUCCGCCGGGCAUGCCUGUUCGAGCGUCAUUAUAACCACUCAAGCCUGGCUUGGUAUUGGGGUUCGCGGUUCCGCGGCCCCUAAAAUCAGUGGCGGUGCCGGUGGGCUCUAAGCGUAGUAAAUCUCCUCGCUAUAGGGUCCCUCCGGUUGCUCGCCAGAACCCCCAAUUUUUUAAGGUUGACCUCGGAUCAGGUAGGGAUACCCGCUGAACUUAAGCAUAUCAAUAAGCGGAGGAAAAGAAACCAACAGGGAUUACCUCAGUAACGGCGAGUGAAGCGGUAACAGCUCAAAUUUGAAAGCUGCCAACAGGCCGCGUUGUAAUUUGUAGAAGAUGCUUUGGGGGUAGGCCUAGUCUAAGUUCCUUGGAACAGGACGUCAUAGAGGGUGAGAAUCCCGUAUGUGAUUAGUGCCUUCUCCCGUGUAAAGCUCUUUCGACGAGUCGAGUUGUUUGGGAAUGCAGCUCAAAAUGGGUGGUAUAUUUCAUCUAAAGCUAAAUAUUGGCCAGAGACCGAUAGCGCACAAGUAGAGUGAUCGAAAGAUGAAAAGCACUUUGGAAAGAGAGUUAAACAGUACGUGAAAUUGUUGAAAGGGAAGCGCUUGCAACCAGACUUGCAGGCGGUCGAUCAUCCGAGGUUCUCCCCGGUGCACUCGAUCGUCUUCAGGCCAGCAUCGGUUUUGGUGGCGGGAUAAAGGCUCUAGGAAUGUGGCUCUUCGGAGUGUUAUAGCCUAGGGUGCAAUGCCGCCUACCGGGACCGAGGACCGCGCUUCGGCUAGGA